UGGGAUGUAGCCAAGUGGUAAGGCGUCGGAAUUUGGGUCCGAGUAUCAAAGGUUCGAAUCCUUUCAUCCCAG
rnacentral:tRNA from 1 species